GACGAACGCUGGCGGCGUGCUUAACACAUGCAAGUCGAACGGAAAGGCCCUGCUUUUGUGGGGUGCUCGAGUGGCGAACGGGUGAGUAACACGUGAGUAACCUGCCCUUGACUUUGGGAUAACUUCAGGAAACUGGGGCUAAUACCGGAUAGGAGCUCCUGCUGCAUGGUGGGGGUUGGAAAGUUUCGGCGGUUGGGGAUGGACUCGCGGCUUAUCAGCUUGUUGGUGGGGUAGUGGCUUACCAAGGCUUUGACGGGUAGCCGGCCUGAGAGGGUGACCGGCCACAUUGGGACUGGGAUACGGCCCAGACUCCUACGGGAGGCAGCAGUGGGGAAUAUUGCACAAUGGGCGGAAGCCUGAUGCAGCAACGCCGCGGGCGGGAUGACGGCCUUCGGGUUGUAAUCCGCUUUCGCCUGUGCCGAAGCGUGAGUGACGGUAAUGGGUAAAGAAGCACCGGCUAACUACGGGC
rnacentral:rRNA from 1 species